AGUUUGAUCCUGGCUCAGAUUGAACGCUGGCGGCAUGCCUUACACAUGCAAGUCGAACGGCAGCACGGGUGCUUGCACCUGGUGGCGAGUGGCGAACGGGUGAGUAAUGCAUCGGAACGUACCCUGGAGUGGGGGAUAACUAUCCGAAAGGAUAGCUAAUACCGCAUAUUCUAUGAGUAGGAAAGCGGGGGAUCUUCGGACCUCGCGCUCUGGGAGCGGCCGAUGUCAGAUUAGCUAGUUGGUGGGGUAAAGGCCUACCAAGGCUACGAUCUGUAGCGGGUCUGAGAGGAUGAUCCGCCACACUGGGACUGAGACACGGCCCAGACUCCUACGGGAGGCAGCAGUGGGGAAUUUUGGACAAUGGGGGCAACCCUGAUCCAGCCAUGCCGCGUGAGUGAAGAAGGCCUUCGGGUUGUAAAGCUCUUUCGGCCGGGAAGAAAUCGCCAUCUCUAAUAUAGGUGGCGGAUGACGGUACCGGAAUAAGAAGCACCGGCUAACUACGUGCCAGCAGCCGCGGUAAUACGUAGGGUGCGAGCGUUAAUCGGAAUUACUGGGCGUAAAGCGUGCGCAGGCGGUUUUUUAAGAUAGGCGUGAAAUCCCCGGGCUUAACCUGNGAACUGCGCUUAUGACUGGAAGACUAGAGUACGGCAGGG
rnacentral:rRNA from 1 species